AUUGAACGCUGGCGGCAUGCCUUACACAUGCAAGUCGAACGGCAGCACGGGAGCAAUCCUGGUGGCGAGUGGCGAACGGGUGAGUAAUAUAUCGGAACGUGCCCAGUCGUGGGGAUAACGUAGCGAAAGCUACGCUAAUACCGCAUACGAUCUAUGGAUGAAAGCGGGGGAUCGCAAGACCUCGCGCGAUUGGAGCGGCCGAUAUCAGAUUAGGUAGUUGGUGAGGUAAAGGCUCACCAAGCCGACGAUCUGUAGCUGGUCUGAGAGGACGACCAGCCACACUGGGACUGAGACACGGCCCAGACUCCUACGGGAGGCAGCAGUGGGGGAAUUUUGGACAAUGGGCGCAAGCCUGAUCCAGCAAUGCCGCGUGCAUGAUGAAGGCCUUAGGGUUGUAAAGUUCUUUCGCCGAUGAAGAUAAUGACGGUAGUCGGAGAAGAAGCCCCGGCUAACUUCGUGCCAGCAGCCGACGG
rnacentral:rRNA from 1 species